CCAAAGGCUCUUUUAAGAGCCACCCACUGUUCUCAAGAAAGAGUC
rfam:Danio rerio chromosome 7, GRCz11 reference primary assembly.